rnacentral:rRNA from 1 species
AUUGAACGCUGGCGGCAGGCCUAACACAUGCAAGUCGAGCGAGCGGCGGACGGGUGAGUAAUGUCUGGGAAACUGCCUGAUGGAGGGGGAUAACUACUGGAAACGGUAGCUAAUACCGCAUACCAUCAGAUGUGCCCAGAUGGGAUUAGCUAGGAGGUGGGGUAAUGGCUCACCUAGGCGACGCUCCCUAGCGGGUCUGAGAGGAUGACCAGCCAAACGGGAACUGAGACACGGUCCAGAUCCCUACGGGAGGCAGAAGUGGGGAAUAUUGCACAAGGGGCGCAAGCCGGAUGCAGCAAUGCCGCGUGGGGGAAGAAGGCCUGCGGGUUGUAAAGCACUUUCAGCGGGGAGGCGUUACCCGCAGAAGAAGCACCGGCUAAUUCCGUGCCAGCAGCCGCGGUAUAC